UGCUAUGAUUAAUAUCGAUAUUCAUUUAAUAAACGAUACAAAAAACAACAUGAAUUUAGAAAAGAAUGAAUAUAUGGUUAAUAAUUACUUACAUCAAUUAUUUAAAAAUAAAGUUUUGAAAAUAGUAGUUACAGAUGGCACAACGGAAAUUACUCGAUCGUUUCUAUACAGAAUACUCACUGAUGAUGUGUUCGGAAAAAAUCAAUGUAUUUUUGUCAGUCUUUACGAAUUAUCGACCAAGACAAUGUUUUUGGAAAGCCUUGCAAUUGAAUUAAAUUCCUUUAGUCCUAAGCUUUUAAGCGGUAUCAGUUACAGCAAUAAUGUUUUCGAAUUCAAAGAUGCAGAUGUUGUAAUUUGCAUUGGUCAUUCGAGAGAAUAUGAUUUCAAAGAGCCCGAAUAUACAGAAUCAUUUUUUAAGGAUUAUGUUCUUAUUUCCAAAUUUUAUGGUCAAAUUAUAAAUAACUAUGUGAAAAAGGAUGCAAGAAUUAUUGUACUCGGAAAUACUGCUGCCACGAUUAUAUCCAAAUAUGCGAAAUCUAUUCCUGUUAAAAAUAUAACUACUUUGUCCAUGCUUAAUUUAAAUAUUGUUAAAACUCAGAUUGCCGCACGAGCAAAUUGUCUUCCAACGGAAGUGAAAAAUAUAAUAAUUUGGGGUUCAAAUGGAAGAUAUUGUUUUCCAGAUUGUAGAUAUUUACAUUUAACCAAUGGAAAACCUUUGAAAGAUUCUUUAAAAGUGUGGAUAUCUAAUGAUCUUCCACGUAUUACUCAAAGUAUCAACAAUAGAUCAUGCUUAAUUAAUUCCAUAGCUUAUGCAUUAGCAGAGCACUGUAAAAUCUUAUGGAAUGGUACUCCAGAAAAUGAAUGGACUAGUAUGGGUGUACUAUCCGAUCUUUCUUAUUCAAUUCGAUCUGGAAUAUUUUUUUCUUUUCCUGUAAUUUGUAAGGACAAACAAUGUGAAAUUAUAAAGGAUUUUGAAUUAGAUGAAUAUGUUAAAAAAUACAUUGUGGAUUUAAGUAGAUUAAUUUUUAGAGAAAUUCAAAUUGCUCUUGAAAUUUGUGACUCGAUAUCAUAUGAUGAUUAUUAAGGUAUAUAAGAUUACGAAGCAUCGAUUAUUUGUGCAUCGUUACCAUUAUUAUAUUUUUACACACAACUUUUUUCAUUAAAAUUUUUACGGAUCUUUCUUGUUUAUUUGAAAUUCUUUUUAUAUAAUUAAUUGAAAUAUAUAAUAAUUGAAAUGAAUCGAAAAUGAUGGAUAUGUCAAUUUUCAUAGAAAGAAAUUCAAAUGGCACCGCAAGCAGCGAGAGUACUAGCUACGUAUACCACCGCCGUAGUAGUUCCAGAUUUGCUAACAAUUGUUCCGAGACAGCAGGAGAGUAGGAACUGGGCUAAAAACACCAUGGAAGAGACGAUUGCAACGUCU